AUUGAAAUACUGGUUCCCAUAUGAUAACCAAAGUUAAGCAACAUUGAGUCUGGUCACUACCUAGAUGGGUAACCACUUGGGAAUACUAGGUGCUGUAAG